rnacentral:rRNA from 1 species
AGUGGGGAAUAUUGCACAAUGGGCGCAAGCCUGAUGCAGCGACGCCGCGUGAAGGAUGAAGGUCUUCGGAUUGUAAACUUCUAUCAGCAGGGAGGAACCAAUGACGGUACCUGACUAAGAAGCCCCGGCUAACUACGUGCCAGCAGCCGCGGUAAUACGUAGGGGGCAAGCGUUAUCCGGAAUUACUGGGUGUAAAGGGUGCGUAGGUGGCAUGGUAAGUCAGAUGUGAAAACUUGGGGCUCAACUUCAAGAUUGCAUCUGAAACUGCUAAGCUAGAGUGCAGGAGAGGAAAGCGGAAUUCCGAGUGUAGCGGUGAAAUGCGUAGAGAUUCGGAGGAACACCAGUAGCGAAGGCGGCUUUCUGGACUGUAACUGACACUGAGGCACGAAAGCGUGGGGAGCGAA